AAUAGUUCUUAGGGGAUUUAAACGGUGCCUAUCUGAUAUAUACAUAUACAUGUUGUAAAAACUAGUCAGUGUCCUUAUGAGAAAGUAUUUGGAGUGUAUAGAGAUGGGAGUGAGGCAGAAGAAGACUUGCAUUCAGUCUCAGUGAACCAAUAAGGAAGACGUACUCCUGGGUAAGGCUGAGUGAUGUCAGAGCAGGGAAUAUGCAGCUUUAUGAAGGAGGAUAACUUGAGUUGUGCCUUCCAAUAUGAGGCAAAUGAAUUACAGCCACUGGUGUGUAGUCUUUCCUGUCUACUGGUCUUCAGCUGUUCCUUCGGCGUUGUCCUGAGUCCACCAGGCAGGUCACUUGGAACAGAAAGGUUCAGUCUCUGAUGAAACUCAAAGGUCAGAUUAUUACACUUUAUUUAUCUUCCUGUGAUAAGUACCUUUGCUGGCAAGGGACAGUGACAGUGUUUUGACAGUAUGGAGAAUGUGAAGUUUGGAUUGCCAUGAAUUCAUAUUGACAAGGGAAGAUGCAGAAACAAGC
ensembl:lncRNA